rfam:Hordeum vulgare subsp. vulgare, WGS project CAJW01000000 data, contig: morex_contig_39973
CAAGUACUCCCUCCGUCCUAAAAUUCUUGUCUUAAAUUUGUUUAGAUAUGAAUGUNNNNNGUCAAGUUUUAGUAUUUAGAUACAUUCAUUUUUAAAUAAAUCUAAGACAAGAAUUUUGAGACGGAGGAAGUAAUAU